UACAGAGGUCUCAAGCGUUGUUCGGAUUCAUUGGGCGUAAAGGGUGCGUAGGCGGGUCUUUAAGUCAGGGGUGAAAUCCUGGAGCUCAACUCCAGAACUGCCUUUGAUACUGAGGAUCUUGAGUUCGGGAGAGGUGAGUGGAACUGCGAGUGUAGAGGUGAAAUUCGUAGAUGUUCGCAAGAACACCAGUGGCGAAGGCGGCUCACUGGCCCGAUACUGACGCUGAGGCACGAAAGCGUGGGGAGCAAACAGG
rnacentral:rRNA from 1 species